rnacentral:lncRNA from 1 species
GAAAGAUUUGGGAAGACCGGUCUAUCACCACCAGCUCCAAAGCCAACUGAUGAACAGGGUCAGAUAAUUGUCACUUCCUCUAAUUGUCAAGAUCAUGAUCACAUGAAUAUUAGUAACAACUAUGGAAGAGAGGAAAAAAUAGUAUCACCUCCAACUCCAAAGCCAGCUGAUGAACAGGGUCAGAUAAUUGUCACUUCCUCUACUACUACUAAUGAUAAUCAGAAUAGUAACUAUAUGGGAAAAGUAGAACAAAAACCAACACCUCCCUCACCCCACCAUAAUGAACCCAUCGGUCAACUAGGCCGAGGACUUAAACCUCACAAAUAUCCAAUUUCUUCCUUACCUCUUCAGGCUUCCUAUUGAUUAGGCUUCUAUAGCUCUACGUCGGAACUUUAUGUUAAGUGGCCCUAC